CAGCAGCCACGGUAAUACGUAGGGUGCGAGCGUUAAUCGGAUUUACUGGGCGUAAAGCGUGCGCAGGCGGCCCGUUAAGGCAGGUGUGAAAUCCCUGGGCUCAACCUAGGAAUUGCGCUUGUGACUGGCGGGCUCGAGUACGGUAGAGGGGGGUGGAAUUCCUGGUGUAGCAGUGAAAUGCGUAGAGAUCAGGAGGAACACCGAUGGCGAAGGCAGCCCCCUGGGCCUGUACUGACGCUCAUGCACGAAAGCGUGGGGAGCAAACAGGAUUAGAGACCCCUGUAGUCCCUGUCUCUUAUAC
rnacentral:rRNA from 1 species